AUGGAUAAAAAAAUCGUCUUUGUUAUACGCCAUCUUUUAUUUAUUCACACGGAAGUCAAGUCAGCUCUUAACAGCUUUUUUAGAUUCAAUAGUUUUACUAAAUAAAAUUUGUAAUUCUAUAGGAAAAAAGCUAAAGAACAUCUGGGGAUGAUUGCGUGGUUUGCAGCCUGACUAAAAAUUUUACUUAGACUAAAUGGGAGUAAACCAUUUGAUAUUAAAAAUUGGUCAAUCUUGAAAUCGCUCUUUUAUAAAAUAUAUAUAAACAUUUUUUACUGUUCAAUCUCAAACCAUGUACAAUCAAUCAGCUUCAGAUCAUAAUAGCUUUGAAACAAUGAUAAUGAAAGUUUUUCAUCGUUCUAAAUUUAUGCUACAGUUAUGGUCGUAAAAGAUUAAGACAAAUCUUAUGGGUGCAAUUAUUCCACUGGCACCCGCGAAAUUGCCAAAAGAACUGACCAUCGCUGUUUAUUGUAUUUUUUUAAAUGUUUUAGUUAAACAAUCUAACACUUUA